rfam:Lupinus angustifolius cultivar Tanjil chromosome LG11, whole genome shotgun sequence.
CUCCGCCCGUCACACUAUGGGAGCUGGUCAUGCCCGAAGUCGUUACCUUAACCGCAAGGAGGGGGAUGCCAAAGGCAGGGCUAGUGAUUGGAGUGAAGUCGUAACAAGGUAGCCGUACUGGAAGGUGCGGCUG